rnacentral:tRNA from 1 species
GAUAGAGUGACUGAAAAUAAUAGGUGAUAAAUUGUAAAUUUAUUUAUGGUAUAAUACCCUCUAUCA